rnacentral:rRNA from 1 species
CAGUCGCCGCGGUAAUACGUAGGGUGCGAGCGUUAAUCGGAAUUACUGGGCGUAAAGCGUGCGCAGGCGGUUAUGUAAGACAGUUGUGAAAUCCCCGGGCUCAACCUGGGAACUGCAUCUGUGACUGCAUAGCUAGAGUACGGUAGAGGGGGAUGGAAUUCCGCGUGUAGCAGUGAAAUGCGUAGAUAUGCGGAGGAACACCGAUGGCGAAGGCAAUCCCCUGGACCUGUACUGACGCUCAUGCACGAAAGCGUGGUGAGCAAACAGGAUUAGAUACCCGUGUAGUCCCUGUCUCUUAUAC